AUAGACAAAACACAAGUACACGACGCUAGGUCUCGCGUGUUUUACACGGUUUUCCGACUAUACGGCAUUAUAGUUUUACGAUGUCGUUCAAAACCGCGCGCGCCUGAAAAUAAUAAUAUUCUACGGGAAUAGGUAGGCUUUUAGUACACGAUUAAUAAUGCACACGCGAAUACGCAAAAUAUAUUCCCCACUGUAUAGGUGUAA